rnacentral:rRNA from 1 species
AACGAACGCUGGCGGCAGGCUUAACACAUGCAAGUCGAACGCCCCGCCAGGGGAGUGGCAGACGGGUGAGUAACGCGUGGGAACAUACCCUUUUCUACGGAAUAGCUCUGGGAAACUGGAAUUAAUACCGUAUACGCCCUACGGGGGAAAGAUUUAUCGGGGAAGGAUUGGCCCGCGUUGGAUUAGCUAGUUGGUGGGGUAAAGGCCUACCAAGGCGACGAUCCAUAGCUGGUCUGAGAGGAUGAUCAGCCACAUUGGGACUGAGACACGGCCCAAACUCCCGCGGGGGGGAGCAGGGGGGAAUAUGGGACAAGGGGCGCAAGCCUGACCCACCCAGGCCGGGUAGGUGAUGAAGGCCUAAGGGUUGUAAAGCUCUUUCCCCGAUGAGGAUAAGGAGGGAAGUGGGGAAAAAAGCCCGGCUAACCUUCGG